rnacentral:sRNA from 1 species
GCUGGGUGCGGUGGCGCACACCUGUGAUCCCAGCAGCUCAGGAGGCUGAGGCAGGAGGAUCGUGAGUUCAAAGCCAGCCCCAGCAAAAAGCAAGGCACUAAGCAACUCAGUGAGACCCUGUCUCUA